UACAGAGGUCCCAGGCGUUGUUCGGAUUCACUGGGCGUAAAGGGUGCGUAGGUGGCUGGGAAAGUUUGAUGUGAAAGCUCAGGGCUCAACCCUGAAAUGGCAUUGAAUACUACUUAGCUGGAGGUUUGGAGGGGGGACUGGAAUUCUCGGUGUAGCAGUGAAAUGCGUAGAUAUCGAGAGGAACACCAGUGGCGAAGGCGAGUCCCUGGACAACACCUGACACUGAGGCACGAAAGCUAGGGGAGCAAACAGG
rnacentral:rRNA from 1 species